UGGGGUAGAAUUGCUCAACUCGAAGUAGUACCUCUGUGAUUGAAUGCCAUGCACAACAAUGAUGUGCUAUAUAUAGGCGAUUGUUUGUCUUCUACUUAGGUCACCUCCAAGAUGAUGGGUACAGAUUUCGCGUCACCUCCAAAAUUAAUUACAGUAAUUUUUUAUUUUUUUAUUUUCAAAGUGUCGAUAGCCAAAUGCUUCAGCAAAUUGUGAAUAUAUUUACAUUCGAUUCACAUCUUGGACUGUCGUACAAUUUUUGUUCUGUGGCCUACCAGAGAAUGGAGUCAAUAGACCGAUUGACCAGUGACCAACCAACAAGCCCUUUUGUUUAUAUGAAAUUAAUUUCAUAUUAUUGAAGCUAAUUAAUCAGGUGAUAAUGUUUUGAAUUUUAAUUUCUAAGAACGUGGGUGUUAGAGAAGAAAACAAUACAUGGUGAUAUCAUUUUCAAUAUAUUUGGCAGAAGAGAAUUUGUUUUGGGAUGAAAGAGGACAAGGCAAUAUAGCUGUAUGAGGUCUAAGGCUUGGUUUUGUUUUGGUUUGUUUGCAUGGGUAAUCUUUCUGCACACAACAAGCUUAUUUACAGCAAAGCAAUAUUUGUAGGCAUUAGAUGUAAGCUAGAAUUCUAGAAUGACGACGUUUGGACAGUGACCAUUUAUUCUUCAGUGUGGGGGAUGCAUAUGCACAAUGAAAACCUUAAUUCGAACACACGGCUUCGGACUUUAUAAGGAUAACUACUCUUAACAACUUAAACCACAAGUCUCGUGUUAUAUUGAUGUAUUUAUAUAUGAUAUAUAUCCAACCAAACUUUUUGUAUAUAUUAUCCUUUGCAUGUAGAUUCUUCAAUUGCCAACAAGAACUCUCUCUCUCUCUCUCUCUCUCUCUCUCUCUCUCUCUCUCUCUCUCUCCCCAUGAACAACAGAGGCACUUAUCACUCAACUUUAUACUUCGAUUGAAUUUUGUUUCCAUUGUCACAUUUGCAUGUGAAUGUACUUUCCCGAAGUGCAACUCACGUGAGUUUUGCUAGCAAGUCACAAGAAUCCUAUAUACUACUAUACUAAGGAUAAUUUGUUUAUACAAAGAAAAUAAAAAAGUAAAUGUAUAGAUUAUAGUAAAUAUAUUUAUUGGGUUUUUUUUUAUUUAUUUCAAAUGAAUUACGAAAUUUUGGAGCCUUAUGAAGGAGCACAGAUUGGUGUCAAGCAUUGUAAAACGAUGGCUCUAUGUGGUGAUUGAGCAGAUUGCCCAAUUUGUCAAGCACCUCUUCAUUGGCCAUUGCUUCAACUACAACUUUGUGGUCAAGUUAUGUGAUUGUUCUAUCAAAUGCCUUCUUUUUGAGUCGGAGAGAACUUUAGGAUUGUGUUUUUCAAAUUUACAUGGUAGGUAGGGAAAUAGAACGGAGGGAGGGUGAACAUAGAAGCACUCAUAUUAAGAAGUCCAUAGCUAUGAUUUCACAAUUACAACAGAGUUUAGCAUGUACAUAUGUCCAAUGUUAAUUAAUUAAGAAAUAAAAUAGAAGCGUGUUUGUC